rnacentral:rRNA from 1 species
UUUGACCUCAAAUCAGGUAGGAUUACCCGCUGAACUUAAGCAUAUCAAUAAGCGGAGGAAAAGAAACUAACGAGGAUUCCCUUAGUAACGGCGAGUGAAGAGGGAUGAGCUCAAAUUUGAAAUCUGGCGGCCUACGGUCGUCCGAGUUGUAAUCUAGAGAAGUGUUUUCCGCGCUGGACCGUGUACAAGUCCUUUGGAACAAGGCGUCAUAGAGGGUGAGAAUCCCGUCUACGACACGGACUACCAGUGCUUUGUGAUACACUCUCGACGAGUCGAGUUGUUUGGGAAUGCAGCUCAAAAUGGGUGGUAAAUUCCAUCUAAAGCUAAAUACAGGCGAAAGACCGAUAGCGAACAAGUACCGUGAGGGAAAGAUGAAAAGCACUUUGGAAAGAGAGUUAAACAGUACGUGAAAUUGUUAAAAGGGAAACGCUUGAAGUCAGUCGCGUCUUCAGAAACUCAGCCUGGCUUCUGCCUGGUGUACUUUUCUGUUGGACGGGCCAGCAUCAGUUUUGGCGGUCAGAAAAAGGUCAGAGGAAGGUGGCACCUCCGGGUGUGUUAUAGCCUCUGAUCGUAUGUGACGGCUGGGACUGAGGACUGCAGCACGCCUUCAUUGGCCGGGGUUCGCCCACGUAACGUGCUUAGGAUGCUGGCGUAAUGGCUUUAAACGACCCGUCUUGAAACACGGACCAAGGAGUCUAACAUGCCUGCGAGUAUUUGGGUGGUAAACUCAUAUGCGGAAUGAAAGUGAACAGUUGGGACUCCUGUCAUGGGAGGCACCGACGCCCGGACCAGAUCUAUUGUGACGGAUCCGAGGUAGAGCAUGUAUGUUGGGACCCGAAAGAUGGUGAACUAUGCCUGAGUAGGGUGAAGCCAGAGGAAACUCUGGUGGAGGCUCGUAGCGAUUCUGACGUGCAAAUCGAUCGUCGAACUUGGGUAUAGGGGCGAAAGACUAAUCGAAC